rnacentral:rRNA from 11 species
CUUUGUACACACCGCCCGUCGCUACUACCGAUUGAAUGGCUCAGUGAGGCCUUCGGACUGGCUCAGGGAGGUCGGCAACGACCACCCAGAGCCGGAAAGUUGGUCAAACUCGGUCAUUUAGAGGAAGUAAAAGUCGUAACAAGGUCUCCGUAGGUGAACCUGCGGAGGGAUCAUUA